rnacentral:rRNA from 2 species
GACGCAAGUAUGAUGGAGCAACGCCGCGUGAGUGAAGAAGGCUUUCGGGUCGUAAAACUCUGUUGUUGGAGAAGAAUGGUCGGCAGAGUAACUGUUGUCGGCGUGACGGUAUCCAACCAGAAAGCCACGGCUAACUACGUGCCAGCAGCCGCGGUAAUACGUAGGUGGCAAGCGUUAUCCGGAUUUAUUGGGCGUAAAGCGAGCGCAGGCGGUUUUUUAAGUCUGAUGUGAAAGCCCUCGGCUUAACCGAGGAAGUGCAUCGGAAACUGGGAAACUUGAGUGCAGAAGAGGACAGUGGAACUCCAUGUGUAGCGGUGAAAUGCGUAGAUAUAUGGAAGAACACCAGUGGCGAAGGCGGCUGUCUGGUCUGUAACUGACGCUGAGGCUCGAAAGCAUGGGUAGCGAACAGGAUUAGAUACCCUGGUAGUCCAUGCCGUAAACGAUGAAUGCUAGGUGUUGGAGGGUUUCCGCCCUUCAGUGCCGCAGCUAACGCAUUAAGCAUUCCGCCUGGGGAGUACGACCGCAAGGUUGAAACUCAAAGGAAUUGACGGGGGCCCGCACAAGCGGUGGAGCAUGUGGUUUAAUUCGAAGCAACGCGAAGAACCUUACCAGGUCUUGACAUCUUUUGAUCACCUGAGAGAUCAGGUUUCCCCUUCGGGGGCAAAAUGACAGGUGGUGCAUGG